UUUCUUUUUUUUUUUUUUUUUUUUCUUUUUUUCGGAGCUGGGGACCGAACCCAGGGCCUUGCAGUUGCUAGGCAAGUGCUCUACCACUGAGCUAAAUCCCCAACCCCGAAGUUUUGUUUCUUAUUUAAGCUACUCACAGGGAUCUGAAGCAGCCAGGGUUCGUUCGUUCUUAUUUAUUUAUUUAUUUAUUUAUUUAUUUAUUUAUUUAUUUAUUUAUUUACUGAAUGUGAGCACACUGUAGCUGUCUUCAGACACACCAGAAGAGGGCAUCAAAUCCGACUAUAGAUGAUUGUGAACCACCAUGUGGUUGCUGGGAUUUGAACUCAGGACCUCUGGAAGAACAGCCAGUGCUCUUACUGUCUUUUUUUUUUUUUUUCUUUUUUGUCGGAGCUGGGGACUGAACCCAGGGCCUUGCGCUUGCUAGGCAAGCGCUCUACCACUGAGCUAAAUCCCCAACCCGAACAGAACAGCCAGUGCUCUUAACCACUGGGCCAUCUUUCCAGGCCUUUCUUCUUCUUCUUCUUCUUCUUCUUCUUCUUCUUCUUCUUCUUCUUCUUCUUCUUCUUCUUCUUCUUCUUCUUCUUCUUCUUCUUCUUCUUCUUCUUCUUCUUCUCCUCUUCCUCCUCCUCCUCCUCCUCCUCUUCCUCCUCCUCCUCCUUCUCCUGCUCCUCUUCUUCUUCCUCCUCCUCCUCCUGCUCCUCCUCCUCCUUCUCCUGCUCCUCCUCCUCCUCCUCCUCCUCUUCCUCUUCCUCCUCUUAUUUACUUACAUCCUCUCCUUCUACCCUGUAGGUCCCAGGGAUUGAACUCAGGUCUUCAAGCUUGGCACCAAGUGUCCUUACCCAAUAAGCCAGCUUGAUGACCCUCUCUCUUCUCACUGAUUCUAAACAAAGAAACAAAAGCCAUUUAUGUACUCUCUGUAAAUAAUCCUAGCCAGGGUAGCUGGGCCAGUGUGGAGAAGCAUGAAACAGCUGGAACUGAGCCCUCCCCAAGGAUGGGAUGCACAGCCCUCCAGUCAGUCCUCACAGGCUGUGCAGCGUCAGCAUUAGAUUCUUUGAACUUUGCAUUUUCUGUUUCAGAGGCUCCCACUAGGGCUGGGGUCAUGUGACUGCCUCUGACUGCACUGACACUGGAAUCCACAGUUCAGCUCACCCAUGCCAUAGAUAAGGAGUGUGUAACCCAACGGGCUAGCAAUUUCCCUUCUCUAUGCCCUACUUCUUCAUCUACAAGGCUAAUCCUCACAGGGUGGCUCAGACAGAACUAUAGACCUCAGCAGCAAAGGGAGAUUUUAAGUUUCUGUUCAAGGGCCACUUACUGGUUACACAAUUGCAGCCAAGUUUCAUUCACCCACUCCCCCACCCCCAUCAUCACCUGGAGGCCAGUGGACAAGUGUGGAGUCAAUUCUCCCUAUCUUUUAUGUGGGUUCUGGGCAUCGAACUCAAGUUCCAGAGUUGUGGGGCUAAAAAGAUGGCUCAGUGGUUAAGAGCACUGACUGCUCUUCCAGAGGUCCUGAGUUCAAUUCCCAGCAACCACAUAGUGGCUCACAACCAUUUGUAGUGAGACCUGAUGCUCUCUUCUGGUGUGUCUGAAGACAGCUACUGUGUACUUACAUAUCAAUCAAUCAAUCAAUCUUAAAAAAAAAUUCCAGAGUUGUGCGUUACCUGCUGAGCUGAGCUCUCUCGCUGGUCUGCUCCAUCGUUUAUAAACAAGUACACAUGGAGAAGACAGAGGAGGUGUGCUUGCUUUUUGGGGAACCCCCUUCUAAUGAGGAAGACAGAAAAGCAGAGUGGGCUGGAGUGCUUGCUCAGCUGGUCAAGUGCUUGCCACCCAGGCCUGAGCACAUGAGUGCCAUUCCGCCAUCUGGAAAGACUGGAGUAAUAAAGCCAGGAGCACGUUAGUUAGUAACCGUUAGUAACCCAGCACUGGGAGGAGGAGGCAGAACUAUCCCUGGGCACUCUCCUACUUCAGUGAGGCAAACUUCAGGCCAAUGAGAGACCAAAUCUUUUUUUUUUUUUUUUUUUUUUUUUUUUUUUGGAGCUGGGGACCGAACCCAGGGCUUUGCACUUGCUCUACCACUGAGCUAAAUCCCCAACCCGAGAGACCAAAUCUUAAAAAACAAGGAACAAGGAAGGGUGGGAUGGUACAUGUCUUUAAUCCCAGCACACAGGAGGAAGAAGCAGGUGGGUCUUUGUGAGUUCAAGUCCAGCCUGGUCUAUAUAGUAUAAGACCCUGUCUCAGAAAAAAACAAAACCACCUCGAUAAACUACCACUCCCAGCUUGCUGUGGGGGCGGGGCGUAGGAUCCAAACUGUGGUCUUCACGCUUGUGCAGUAAAUGCUCUUAACUAACCUCUGAGGCGCCUCUCCAGCCUGAAACCUAGGUUUUCAGGCGUAUGUAGAGGCGAAAGGAUAGAACUUAGGAGCAGUAUGUGGUAAGUCCAGUGAUACCCUCCCUAAUAUUGGAGUGGAGGAAAAACCUGGGCCUGGCAGGGUGCUUUUAAUUCCAGCCAAGUGGGAGACUGAGGCCUGAACAAACUAGUGAGAUGCUGUGUAAAAUUAAAAAAAAAAAAAACAAAAAACAACAACAACAAAAAAAAAAAACAAAAACAGAAAAAGAAAAUGUCACCUCUCCACUCUGUACUGUAGAGGUGAUACAACCAGCUGCCCCCUCCCGCGCCCCAGUGACUUUCUGCAAUGAAGGACUGUAAUCUGGGAUUAAAAGGCAAAUAAACUAUAUUCACCCCUCAAAGAACAUAAACAUUAGGGGAAAAAGGUUAAUGGAAAAACAAAAUGAACCCCACCACAGAAUAGGUAAUAAAUCUUGGCAACUACUAUUUAUUUAUUUAUUUAUUUUUUUGGUUCUUAUUUUCGGAGCUGGGGACCGAACCCAGGGCCUUGCGCUUCCUAAGUAAGCGCUCUACCACUGAGCUAAAUCCCCAGCCCCUUUAUUUAUUUAUUUGUUUAUUUAUAUUUUCUUUUUUUGAGACAGGGCCUCAAAACUUACCUUAACAGGGGUUGGGGAUUUGGCUCAGUGGUAGAGCACUUGCCUAGCAACCGCAAGACCCUGGGUUCGGUCCCCAGCUCCGAAAAAAAGAAAAAAAAAAAACCAAAAAAACAAAAAAACUUACCUUAACCAAUUCCAGGGCAGGGGCAGGGGCAGGGGCAGGGGCAGAGGCAGGGGCAGGUGAAUCUUUGUGAGGUCAAAGCCAGCCUGGUCUACAAAAUAAGUUCCAUAUAUAAUAGAGAGCUCCUAUCUCAAAACAAAUAAACAAAUAAACCCCUUUCGUUCACCUUUUAAUCCUCCUUCCACCUCCACAGUGCUGGGUUAACAGACCUGGGUGAACAUCAGAGGCCCAGGCACUGGUUACUCAGGGUUUCAUGCAUUCACCCACCGAACUUUCUCUCCAGUCCACUUACCAUGCGAGCUCUCCCCCAUUUCUUUUUUUUUUUUUAAUUGGAUUUUUUAAAUAUACAUUUCAAAUGUUAUCCCCUUUCCCUAUUUCCCAUCCAUAAGCCCCCUAUUCCAUCUCCCUCCCCCACCAUGUAUGCUUUUGAGACUCAUUCAUUCAUCUCAUGAGCAAAGUCGGUACACAGUCGUUGCUUUGGGUGUCCGAGCUGUGCCCAGCGUCUAGUUUACCUUGCUUGCUAGCUGUGAUCCAUUCUUCAAUCCCUAUGAAAGGGUAUAACCAUGAAGCCCGUACACAAGGCAUGUAUGAACAUGAGAUGGAAUAAUAGGGCCAGCGUAAACAGGAGUUGCUUAGAAAACACACAGCAGCAGAGGAAAUCAGCUUUGAACAAAUAACACAUCCAUCUGGGUCCUCCUUUAAUAAGACCUGCCAGCGUCCGGUUGCCCUUCUGGCAUCCCGGAAUGCUCCGGGCGGAAAACCCUUUCUGAGAUCGGUGUUAAUUCAAAGUAGCCCGGGGACAUAAUCCGUAGGAAUCAGAGCUGGUCUGAAAUAUGAGUUGAGCUCUCUGGCCCUGGUGGAAGCCACUAAGAUCAGGGACAGGUCAGGAGCAGGAACCAGGAUGUCCUAUGGACUACAUUUCCCAGAGGCUACGUGCGGCAGGCGGAUGACGCAGACGCGGCUGAGGGCGCGAGCGUAUAUAAUUCAGCUGCAGGCCGCUCUCAGUCCUUUCUCUCCUCGUCCGCGUUCUUUGUUUUUUUGAUAUGGCGCCUUGUAUUUCUUUCCAGUCUUGCCCCCCGCCCCCCAUUCUCCCAGUUCUCCAGCCCACCGUACUCGGUCUGCAUCCCCGGAUGGUUCCUCAGUGGCCGCGGGAUACGGAGCCUGCUGCUAAGGAACCGGGAUUCUCCAUUUCGGCAGUAGAAGCACGGACCCUAAUGGUCGCAUGCGCAGUGAUAAUUCCGCGGCCUACCGACCGCGCCUUUUGACUGCUGUUCAGGUGAAGAUUGUGGUGAGGAAGGAGACCAGAAGAUGGGCCGAUGAGGAGACGAAGCAGGGCCUGUGUGCACUUGGGGGCGGUUCUUGGAAGAGUGAGGAGACAGCCUGUCAGCCUCUGCUCAUUAACCUAAGGACCAUGUGACCAGUGAGGUGGCCAUCUUGUGAUUUGGUCUGCAUUAUUUGUUGGAAAAAUGCCACAAGAAGAUCACACUGGGAUUUAGAAGUUUCUGGCUAAUACUUAGCCAGGUAGCCUUUUGUGGCCAGAUUGGUCUACAAAGAGAAACAGCAUUUUGGAAAAGUGAAAUAGCUUUGUAACCUAACAUGCAAUUGGUUCAAUAAAGACUUCAAAUUUC